rnacentral:tRNA from 1 species
GGGGUAAUAGCUCAGUGGUAAAGGGCAUGCUUAGUAAGCGUGAGGUUCUGGGUUCAAUCCCUAGUACCUCUA